rnacentral:sRNA from 1 species
CAGGGCCCAGUGCACAGGGAUCUGGGCAUGGCGAGGGGAUGAGAAGCUGUGGAUACAAGCCCAGGACAUGGGGUGGCCCCACGGGGGCUGGGAAGGCUGGCAGAUGUUGGGUGUGGGUGCCGCCCCCCUGCAGGCGUCCUGGCGGCCGGGUCAGGCUGGAUUGGACAUCUGGUUUCCCAUCUGUGCCUCCACCCGCUACCAAGGUGGCCAACCCUCCCUUGAGCUGGAUGCCGGCCACGUGCUUUGCUGCACGGGCUGGCGUGGCCUCGUGUUGUGUUGGGGGUCUCGCACCUUCUGUGGAAGGUGCCCUGCCUGGCAUGCACGGUGUCUGCUGCCUCAUGGCUGAGCUUCCAUCGGGCCGUGUGCCUGUGACCAGCCUCCUGGGCUCUGUCACGGCUGCGCUGUGGCUGUACGCCGUGGCGCUGCAGGGCUGUGCAUGGUGUGACCCGAAUCCUUUCCAGGAGCUUCGAGAACAACUGGAACAUUUACAAGCUCCUCGCCCACCAGAAGCCCCCUAAGGAGAAGUCUAACUUCUCCCUGGCCAUCCUGAAUGUGGGGGCCCCGGCGGCUGGCAUGAAUGCGGCCGUGCGCUCGGCGGUGCGGACCGGCAUCUCCCACGGACACACAGUAUACGUGGUGCACGAUGGCUUCGAAGGCCUAGCCAAGGGUCAGGUGCAAGAAGUGGGCUGGCACGACGUGGCCGGCUGGUUGGGGCGUGGUGGCUCCAUGCUGGGGACCAAGAGGACCCUGCCCAAGGGCCAGCUGGAGUCCAUCGUGGAGAACAUCCGCAUCUACGGUAUUCACGCCCUGCUGGUGGUCGGCGGGUUCGAGGCCUAUGAAGGGGUGCUGCAGCUGGUGGAGGCUCGCGGGCGCUACGAGGAGCUCUGCAUCGUCAUGUGUGUCAUCCCAGCCACCAUCAGCAACAACGUCCCUGGCACCGACUUCAGCCUGGGCUCUGACACUGCUGUAAAUGCCGCCAUGGAGAGCUGUGACCGCAUCAAACAGUCCGCCUCGGGGACCAAGCGCCGUGUGUUCAUCGUGGAGACCAUGGGGGGUUACUGUGGCUACCUGGCCACCGUGACUGGCAUUGCUGUGGGGGCCGACGCCGCCUACGUCUUUGAGGACCCUUUCAACAUCCAUGACUUAAAGGUCAACGUGGAGCACAUGACGGAGAAGAUGAAGACAGACAUUCAGAGGGGCCUGGUGCUGCGGUGAGGCUGCCGUGGGUCCCCGGCCACAGCUGCGCUUCCAACUCUUGGGGCUGGGGUGGGGCUGCUGAGGAGUGGCUGGGCAGGAGAAGGCAGGAGGGGUCCUUGGAGAGGGUGGGCCAGGGCGGCUUUCCUGGGAGCUGCCACUCCCUCUCCCAGGCCUGGCCCAGCGGGGACUCAGGAUUGGGGGGAGACCUGAACUCAUUCCCCGCUGACUCAGGCCCUGCUGUCCCUCUUAGGAACGAGAAGUGCCAUGACUACUACACCACAGAGUUCCUGUACAACCUGUACUCAUCAGAGGGCAAGGGUGUGUUCGACUGCAGGACCAACGUCCUGGGCCACCUGCAGCAGGUGUGGGGCAGGGGUGAGGCUCUGAGAGGCCUGACCCUCUUUCCUGCCACCAUCUGUCCCCGGGCCCAGGGGUCCCAGCCCUCACGGGCACCCACAGGCACUCCCGGCAGGCCCUCGGGCAUGUGUGCCCUUCCCCAGUGAGGGGACCGAGGCCUGUAUCUAGGUGAGGUCUCAUUUCAAGAAGGGGUGGGGCUGGGGCUGGAACCCAGGGCCCGAGCCAGGGCAUUCACAUGCUGAGCCGAGCUCCCCACCCCUGCCAGGCCUCCCGUGGCCACUUCCGCUGAGCCCCUCACCUAGAUCCCCGCAUGCUCCCUGCCUUAUGGUGGCCCUGCAGGAAGCCCGCGUCCUGGGGUUUUCUGAGCCAGGGAGGGGAGUCAGGGUGGCUGGGCAUGGGGCCCGAGGUGGGGCCGCUGGCUGCCGAUGCAGGGCCCAGGAGUCACUUGACUUGGCCAGGGGCAGCCGACUGCCGGCCUCUGGAGGCAGCUUCUGGCCUGGACUUGAUGCUGGAGAGAGCAGGCAGGGUCCUCGAUCGGGAACAGACAGGAACGGUGCACGGGUUGGAAGGAAUGGGUGUUCACAAGCUGCCUGGGAGGCUCCCCGUGGGGACCCUGUCUGCACUGGGGUUGGGCCUCCCCUCUCCUUGGCCCAGGCAGCCCAGGGGAGUCCAGGAACCGGGCCUCACCUGUUUCCAGGGUGGCGCUCCAACCCCCUUUGACCGGAACUACGGGACCAAGCUGGGGGUGAAGGCCAUGCUGUGGUUGUCGGAGAAGCUGCGCGAGGUUUACCGCAAGGGACGGGUGUUCGCCAAUGCCCCAGACUCGGCCUGCGUGAUCGGCCUGAAGAAGAAGGCGGUGGCCUUCAGCCCCGUCACUGAGCUCAAGAAAGAUACUGAUUUCGAGCACCGCAUGCCACGGGAGCAGUGGUGGCUGAGCCUGCGGCUCAUGCUGAAGAUGCUGGCACAAUACCGCAUCAGUAUGGCCGCCUACGUGUCAGGGGAGCUGGAGCACGUGACCCGCCGCACCCUGAGCAUGGACAAGGGCUUCUGAGGCCAGCCAUGCCCACGCCCCUCCCCAGCCCCCACCCAUGCCAGCGCAGCGCCAGGGCUCAGAUGGGGCCUGGGCUGUUGUGUCUGGAGCCUGCAGGCAGGUGGGGGCUGCGUCCCUGCUCAGCCCACCCCCUGCCUCUAUCCCUGGCCACCCGCCAGGCCUCCCUCGGGCUGGUGUCUUGAGACCAGCCUGCCAGGCCCUCCAGCAGGAGGACAGAGUGCCCUGGGGCAUCCACCUUCCUGCCCAGGGGACGUGGCGCUGUCGGUGUUUGGAGGCUGCUGCCCCCUGGCUUUGGCGCCCCAUGGGCCCUCAGCGUCUCCCCAUGCUGGGCUCACUACAUGGGCCAGCCCUUGCCCUACCUGGCCGGUAGGCUGCUGGCGCCUAGGUUGUGUUGAGAGGGGGAUGCCCCUGGCCCUGCCUCACUGUGACCUGCUCCUGCCCACGUGCAGCACCUGUCACCUUUUCUAGAAAUAAAAUCACCCUGACUGUGGGGUGCAUCGGUCUCUGGAGAGCA